GGUCUGGUGGUGUAAUGGUAACAUGCCUGCUUUAUAUGUCCCAUGGAUGCUCGAUGCUUUGGCAGGGGAUUCCUUGUUCGACUCAAGGCCAGGCCA